CUAAAGAUAAUGUAAACAUGAGACUACUUUGCGGCCAAAAACCCGGAAAAUCCAUUUCUAGUUAUCUGCAUUAUGCAAAAUUGAAUUACAAAAUUCAGUACAUUCAAACAGGUGUAUAAGAACAAAGGUUAUAAAAAAGGAAGCUAAUUAUGCACCACCAGAACAAAGGUUAUAAAAAAGGAAGCUAAUUAUGCACCACCACCAGUAAAUUCAAUGUACAACGCAGAGCAUCAGAAGCAACCAAGUCAAGCUGCUUCGGCCUUGCCCUUCCCAUUGAACGAUCCGUGAGCCUUGUUCAUUUUCCGGACCCACAAGGGU
rnacentral:lncRNA from 1 species